rnacentral:tRNA from 1 species
GCCCGAGUGGCGGAAUGGUAGACGCGACGGAUUCAAAAUCCGUUGCCGCGAGGCGUGUCGGUUCGAGUCCGACCUCGGGUACCA